AAACCAACAGGGAUUGCCUUAGUAGCGGCGAGUGAAGCGGCAAAAGCUCAAAUUUGAAAUCUGGCUCUUUCAGAGUCCGAGUUGUAAUUUGAAGAAGGUAUCUUUGGGUCUGGCUCUUGUCUAUGUUUCUUGGAACAGAACGUCACAGAGGGUGAGAAUCCCGUGCGAUGAGAUGAUCCAGGCCUAUGUAAAGUUCCUUCGAAGAGUCGAGUUGUUUGGGAAUGCAGCUCUAAGUGGGUGGUAAAUUCCAUCUAAAGCUAAAUAUUGGCGAGAGACCGAUAGCGAACAAGUACAGUGAUGGAAAGAUGAAAAGAACUUUGAAAAGAGAGUGAAAAAGUACGUGAAAUUGUUGAAAGGGAAGGGCUUGAGAUCAGACUUGGUAUUUUGUAUGUUACUUCUUCGGGGGUGGCCUCUACAGUUUAUCGGGCCAGCAUCAGUUUGGGCGGUAGGAGAAUUGCGUUGGAAUGUGGCACGGCUUCGGUUGUGUGUUAUAGCCUUCGUCGAUACUGCCAGCCUAGACUGAGGACUGCGGUUUAUACCUAGGAUGUUGGCAUAAUGAUCUUAAGUCGCCCGUCUUGAA
rnacentral:rRNA from 1 species